rnacentral:rRNA from 1 species
GACGAACGCUGGCGGCGUGCUUAACACAUGCAAGUCGAACGGAAAGGCCCUGCUUUUGUGGGGUGCUCGAGUGGCGAACGGGUGAGUAACACGUGAGUAACCUGCCCUUGACUUUGGGAUAACUUCAGGAAACUGGGGCUAAUACCGGAUAGGAGCCCCUGCUGCAUGGUGGGGGUUGGAACGUUUCGGCGGGUGGGGAUGGACGCGCGGCUUAUCAGCUUGUUGGUGGGGUAGUGGCUUACCAAGGCAUUGACGGGUCGCCGGCCUGAGAGGGUGACCGGCCACAUGGGGACUGAGAGACGGCCCAGACUCCUACGGGAGGCAGCAGUGGGGAAUAUUGCACAAUGGGAGGAAGCCGGAGGCAGCAACGCCGCGUGCGGGAUGACGGCCUUCGGGUUGUAAACCGCUUUCGCCUGUGACGAAGCGUGAGUGACGGUAAUGGGUAAAGAAGCACCGGCUAACUACGUG